rnacentral:rRNA from 1 species
UACAUAGGUCUCAAGCGUUGUUCGGAUACAUUGGGCGUAAAGGGUGUGUAGGUGGCGCUGUAAGUCGGGUGUGAAAUUUCGGAGCUUAACUCCGAAACUGCAUUCGAUACUGCGGUGCUUGAGGACUGGAGAGGAGACUGGAAUUCAUGGUGUAGCAGUGAAAUGCGUAGAGAUCAUGAGGAAGACCAGUGGCGAAGGCGGGUCUCUGGACAGUUCCUGACACUGAGACACGAAGGCAAGGGGAGCAAACGGG